UACGUAGGGGGCAAGCGUUUGUCCGGAAUCAUUGGGCGUAAAGAGCGUGUAGGCGGCCAGAUAAGUCCGCUGUGAAAUCUCGAGGCUCAACUUCGAGCUGUCGGUGGAAACUGUCUGGCUAGAGUCCGGAAGAGGAGAAUGGAAUUCCUGGUGCAGCGGUGAAAUGCGCAGAUAUCAGGAAGAACACCCGUGGCGAAGGCGGUUCUCUGGGACGGUACUGACGCUGGAGACGCGAAAGCGUGGGGAGCGAACAGG
rnacentral:rRNA from 1 species